AUACGAAGGUGGCAAGCGUUGUUCGGAAUCACUGGGCUUAAAGCGCACGCAGGCGGAACAGAAAGUGUCUUGUGAAAGCCCCCGGCUUAACCGGGGAAUUGCUUGGCAAACUUCUGUUCUUGAGGCAAGUAGAGGUACAUGGAACUCUUGGUGGAGCGGUGGAAUGCGUAGAUAUCAAGAGGAACGCCAAUGGUGAAGACAGUGUACUGGGCUUGUCCUGACGCUGAGGUGCGAAAGCGUGGGGAGCGAACGGGAUUAGAAACCCUAGUAGUCC
rnacentral:rRNA from 1 species